rnacentral:rRNA from 1 species
GGGACUAACGCUGGCGGCGUGCCUAACACAUGCAAGUCGAACGAGGUAGCAAUACCUAGUGGCAGACGGGUGAGUAACGCGUGGUCAACCUACCUCUUAGUGGGGGAUAACUAGCCGAAAGGUUAGCUAAUACCGCAUACGAUCGUCGCGAGGCAUCUCGUGACGAUGAAAGGAGCAAUUCGCUAAGAGAGGGGACUGCGUCCCAUUAGUUAGUUGGUGGGGUAAUGGCCCACCAAGACUCCGAUGGGUAGCUGGCUUGAGAGAGCGACCAGCCACACUGGAACUGAGACACGGUCCAGACUCCUACGGGAGGCAGCAGUGAGGAAUUUUCCGCAAUGGGCGCAAGCCUGACGGAGCGACGCCGCGUGUGGGAAGAAGGCCUUCGGGUCGUAAACCACUGUCGAAGGGGACGAUAUUGACGGUACCCUUGGAGGAAGCCCCGGCUAACUACGUGCCAGCAGCCGC